GACGAACGCUGGCGGCGUGCUUAACACAUGCAAGUCGAACGGAAAGGCCCUGCUUUUGUGGGGUGCUCGAGUGGCGAACGGGUGAGUAACACGUGAGUAACCUGCCCUUGACUUUGGGAUAACUUCAGGAAACUGGGGCUAAUACCGGAUAGGAGCUCCUGCUGCAUGGUGGGGGUUGGAAAGUUUCGGCGGUUGGGGAUGGACUGGCGGCUUAUCAGCUUGUUGGUGGGGUAGUGGCUUACCAAGGCUUUGACGGGUAGCCGGCCUGAGAGGGUGACCGGGCACAUUGGGACUGCGAGACGGCCCAGACGCCAACGGGAGGCAGCAGUGGGGAAUAUUGCACAAUGGGCGGAAGCCUGAUGCAGCAACGCCGCGUGCGGGAUGACGGCCUUCGGGUUGUAAACCGCUUUCGCCUGUGACGAAGCGUGAGUGACGGUAACGGGUAAAGAAGCACCGGCUAACUACGUG
rnacentral:rRNA from 1 species